UACGUAGGGUGCGAGCGUUAAUCGGAAUUACUGGGCGUAAAGCGUGCGCAGGCGGUUCCGUAAGACAGAUGUGAAAUCCCCGGGCUUAACCUGGGAACUGCAUUUGUGACUGCGGGACUAGAGUACGGCAGAGGGGGGUAGAAUUCCACGUGUAGCAGUGAAAUGCGUAGAUAUGUGGAGGAAUACCGAUGGCGAAGGCAGCCCCCUGGGCCAGCACUGACGCUCAUGCACGAAAGCGUGGGGAGCAAACAGG
rnacentral:rRNA from 1 species